rnacentral:rRNA from 1 species
UACGUAGGGUGCGAGCGUUAAUCGGAAUUACUGGGCGUAAAGCGUGCGCAGGCGGUUUUAUAAGACAGGGGUGAAAUCCCCGGGCUCAACCUGGGAACGGCAUUUGUGACUGUAAGACUAGAGUACGGUAGAGGGGGAUGGAAUUCCGCGUGUAGCAGUGAAAUGCGUAGAUAUGCGGAGGAACACCGAUGGCGAAGGCAAUCCCCUGGACCUGUACUGACGCUCAUGCACGAAAGCGUGGGGAGCAAACAGG